AUGACGAAGAAGGCUGUUGUGCACAGUGGACCAGGUUUGAGAGUGCAACACAGCCUCACAGAUUUAACGCAAAUAAGAUUAUUGUUCUACACUGUGAUAAUGAACAGUGUUUCUGUUUCAGUGACAACAACAUCGGCAGUGACUACUACAGUGUUUACAACGAUGACGAACAAGGCUGUUGUGCACAGCGGACCAGGUUUGAAAGUGCAACACAGCCUCACAGAUUUAACGCAAAUAAGAUUAUUGUUCUACACUGAUAAUGAACAGUGUUUCUGUUUCAGUGACGACAACAUCGGCAGUGACUACUACAGUGUUUACAACGAUGACGAAGAAGGCUGUUGUGCACAGCGGACCAGGUUUGAGAGGCUUCUGCUCAUUUGGCUGGUGCUCAUAUUGUGCAUCGUCUUGGCACUUAUAGGUCUCGUAGUCAUGGUCUCGUUACAAAACAAGGAUGCUGUUAGGAAAAUCAUGGACAAUGACGAUGAACCCGAAGCUUAUAUUAUACAUAGAUGUUUAACAGGAGAAUGUGUUGUUACUGCGGCCCGCAUGAUUCAAUCCCUCGAUUACUCUGUGGAUCCAUGCAACAACUUCUACGAGUUUGCAUGUGGUGGCUGGAUGAAGAAGACUUUAGUACCGGCAGACAGCCAAGAAGUAAACCAGUUUACGUUACUUAAACAGGAGGAGGAUAUCAUUCUUAAAAAUUUGUUCGAAGCUGAGGUAAAACCAAACGACAGUUACUCUGUUGUUCUUGUGAAGGACUUUUACGCAUCAUGCAUGAACGAAAAUCUUAUUAAGGAGCUAGGAGUAGAACCCUGUUUGAAACUCAUCAAAUCUAUUGGGAUAUGGCCAAUCAUUGACUCCUAUUGGGACGACUGGUACUUUGACCUUGAAGAGAAGUUACUGGCGCUGAAGAAAUAUAACCAUGCACCGCUGAUUAACGUCUUUGUGUCGUCAGACCAGAGAAACUCGACACAAAGGAAAAUACAUAUCGACCAACCUCACAUAUUUAUGAAGCCUUAUUUGUUGCGAUCGAGAAACAACAUGGUAGUGCAGGCGUAUGAACAGCUGAUUGUGAAAAUCGCCUCACAGUUGGGUCAGCGCUCCCCAACAUCUCGAGGGAUCAUCAGAGAUGCUGAACAAAUUGUCGAUUUCGAGAUUGCCUUAGCAAAAAUUUCCGUCCCAUCGGAACUACGUCAAAAUGAGACAGCUCGUUACAAUGUGUUCAACAUCUCACAGUUGAAUUUGAUCUACCCGCAAAUAAAGUGGUUGAAGUUUCUUCAGAAGGUGAUGAGUAUUCCCGAGGUCGACAUACUGGUGGCUGACAGUGAAGAGAUCAUCAAUGAGUCUCCCAGCUAUUUUGAGAAGUUAAUGCACCUCAUUAAAAUUACACCUAGGAGGGAGAUAGCAAACUACCUGAUAUGGACUGUCACGUUGAAGACUGCAUCGGAGCUGGGUGGGAAAUUGGAAGAAUUCUAUCUGGAUUUCUACAGGGUUAUAACUGGUGUGUCAUCUUUACCGGCAAGGUUUCAAGUCUGCAUAAAACAUGUCGUCCAGAACCUAAGAUUCACAGCAGGUCGAAUGUUUGUUGAUUCCGUAUUUGACGAAAAUAAUAAACAAAGUGCACAGGAGUUGACAUCGGAUAUACACACGACCUUCAAGGAGUUGCUGGAAGAACAGGACUGGAUGGAUAAUGCCACGAGGAAGGUGGCCAUGGAAAAGGCCGAUGCACUUGGUAAAAAAGUAGGAUACCCUGAUUAUAUUUCAAAAGAUGAAGAACUUGAUAAACUUUAUGGAAAUUACAGUUUUUCAAGGGACAAAUUCUUUGAAAAUGUCUUGCACAAUUAUCAGCGAUCAGUUAUCAAUAACCUGAAAAUGCUCAGGGACGAAGUUGACAAAAAUCGUUGGAAAGUAGCACCUUCUGCUGUUAAUGGAUUUUAUGACAGGGUCACAAACCAAAUCAUCAUCCCAGCUGGUAUUUUGCAACCACCAUUUUACAACAGGUUCUCUCCCAGAUCAGUGAAUCAUGGUAGCAUUGGCUUUAUCAUUGGACAUAGAAUAACUAAUGGCUUUGAUGACGAAGGCCGCCAUUAUGACAAGGAUGGCAACCUGAACGACUGGUGGAGUGAUGAGGCCAGCGACACGUUCAGGAACAAGACUCAAUUAAUGGCGUCAAGACUCCAGGAAAAUACUUCGCAGAUAGUGGUGGUCUCAAACUCAGUUACAUGGCAUACAAACGGUGGCUGAAUAGAUUGGGAAACAUGGAUCAAAUGUUGCCGGGACUGAACUUCACUAAACACCAGUUAUUCUUCAUAAGCUUCGCUCAGACAUGGUGUAGCAAUCUCAGACCCGAAAGCAACUUGUUUAGCAUAUUUCUUCAAGUUCACAGUAUGGGAAGAUUGAG
rnacentral:misc_RNA from 1 species